rnacentral:ncRNA from 1 species
GGCAACUUGCCCCUGAAAGGGGGUGCUAUUCAUGUACGAACUUAUGUCUUUGGUUAUCGCUCCACUCUUUGUGGGUCUAGUAAUCACGCUAGUUAAUCAUUGGUUAGACGAUUAGCAGAUAACUUCGCAAGUUGUCCUAACCCACACGCCUAUCCGCAAGGCGAAUAA